rnacentral:lncRNA from 1 species
GAAUUGCCUAUACAGAAUCAACCAUGGAAAUUCACUGCACAUGCCCUUUGCUCUCAUAAUAUUGAAAAUCACAGUAUAACUUAAAGGACCUCAUUUAGUUUAGAAAUCAGCGUAUGAUUUAAAAAGUCACCAUGUAGAAAACUUAUCAGGGAUUCGUGACUGGCAUGUUUCUCUGUUAUAAUCAUUAUUUGCAGAAGGUGAUUUGUGUAUUGGGUUCUUUUAUUUCUGAAUACAUACUCAAUUCCUUAGCCAAUUAAAAAUGUGUGAGCUUCAUAUGGCUUGAAAUUAUCUAUGAAAAGAUAAAUAAUGUAGUUUAAAACUGUUUCCUAUAUUCAUAGAAUCUAAGAAUGAAGAGCUGGAAGGCACCUAACAAUAGUAUAUUCCAAUUCCCUUAUUAGAAAGCCUUCUAAAGAAAGGCCCAAGAGAGAUCAGGUAACGUGGCAAAUUCUGUUUCUCUCUGCAAAUUGGCGACCAAACUAGGAAAAGAGUCUAGUUUAUGAAAGACUUGAUUCCAUGGAAAAGAGGAGGAACAGACAAAGGAUUUUUAAAGAGUUAAAAGUCAUUUCAUCUUGUUUAUAGCAAUAUUAUACAGAGGAAAGCAUAUAACUUUGGAAAACAUUACUCUAAUUAGUUGACUUUGCAUAUAUUCAAAUCCAUAGAUCAUCUUUUACUAACUGAAAUUUUGUAUCCAUUGUCACAUUUCCUUUCAGUGAAAAUGAGUAAUUCAAUAACUCUCUUUAUUUGGAGUUUCACAAAUUAAGGAUUUGUGCGUUUCACUGAUAGAAAAGAAUUUAGGCAUCAAGUUUGGUAUAUAAAAAUCAUAGUUGGA